GAACAGACACCACAAGCAAGCGCCAGGAAGGGAGAACCAACUGCAGAAGCGGACCCGUGAGAACAGAAAGCGGAAGUGUCAGAAAUACCAUGUGAACCAAAGGACUCUCCAGGAAACAAAAGGCAGACAGAGACCUUCAAAACUAAACAGACUGAAGAAGAAAGAACAUCCAAAAGUAAAAAACAUAUGCAAAGAAAAUUGAGCCAACAAAUAGUGAGCAAUACAUACAUGAGGACUGGACGGAGAAGGCAUCAGGAAUGAGAGGCUCCUUGUCAUCGAUGUCAAUGAGCACAUCUUCCCCAGGGCUGAGUAAGCUCACGUCAUCUGCAGGGAGAGCAAGUCCACACCUAUGAGGGACUCAGCGGGGAGAGCAAGUCCACACCUAUGAGGGACUCAGCGGGGGACUGUCACCAGACCCCACAGUCUCACCUCCCCUCACACUGACAGAGGAUCCAGGAAAACAUGGGGAGUGACCCAGGAAGAAAAACUGCAGUCAUCCCAGAAGCCAACAGUCUACCCUCAGAUGGAUUGUGUCUCGACUUGAAGAUCAGAGAGGAUGGACAUCACACGUGUCAGUAAGAGGUCUCGCUUCAGUUCCUACUGAGUUCAGCAUGUAGACAGCCCUGCCACCCUUGGCCUGUGCCCUCGCUGGGCCUCCCAGGCCUGGAUAGUGGCCAGCCUUACCUUCUCUCUCUGGAUAAGCUCGAACGCUGCCAGCAGCUCACCAGCGGGCUGGCUGCCCCGGGUCAGCGGGAACCAGGCCAGGCGGGGCAUCCGUUCCAGGCUUGGCUGACAAAUACAGCGACCCAUGAACUCAUCAGCACCCUAGAAUGGUGUAGAAAAAGACCCUUGAGAGACUAAGCCUACAUGCUACCUCCUGGGCUGGAGAGGGCCCCAGAAGUCAGGGCAGCCUCUUAUGUGGAAUGGCAAGCACUGCCCCUCUUGGCGGGAACUGUGGGGACAAGAUGUGAGCAGCCUCCAGCUAUAGCACUAGGAUGGGAUUCCUGCAAGAGCUGAGAAGUCCUUCUUUAUGUCCAACUAGUAUUCCAUGCUUUUGCUUAAUCCAUCUCUGAGGUCAUCAGAGUCCACUUCCUUAACAGCCUCGUUUGACAUGUCAGGGGCUCUCACAUUGCUUAACUGUGUUUCACCCCUAACUUCUCCAUCUUUUCAGAUUUAAAAAAAAAAAAAAACCUGUGAUCUUGCUUACCAAAGUGAAUCUUACUAAAAUGAUGUCUUUACCUCC